UUUUUAUUUACCGUAGAGGCCCAUAUCUUCUUCUUGAAUUGGACACUGAUUCUAAAGUUUGGCAUCAUCUUCCGUCUCCGACACCGAACUUGCGUCUCUGCAAAAACAGUCUCUUUCUCAACUCUUUACCUCCCAAAUCUGUUCAUAUCCAUCCAUUUGUUUGGCUUCAUCCAACGUAUUCUUCUUUAAGUUGACAAUAAAUAUUUCUUUUUUCAUUAAAACGAGUUACAAUAUCUGACUCUUCGCCUUCUUUCACAGACAAUCAAAACCGUAACAUCGCCUCAAAUUCUAUAAAUUGGAGAUGGUCGAGAGUAGGAUGAAUCUUCAUAGACCCUCUCAGUUAAUCUUUUAUCUUAAACAUAGAAACCUGCCUCGAAUUUGUUUUUGUCUGAUGCUGUUGUUGUUGUUGUCAAAGCACCCAUCCGCCACUCAAUAUUUGACGUUCUCCGACUAGAUAGAUCUUCCCGAUUCAUUGUUUCUAGGCUAAGAAGAACGGUGAUGGGAAUCACUUUACUUCUCAUUGAUUAGAAGGAUUCGGUGGUAGGAUUCGGUGAUCAAAAUUCUUAACAUCUGCUUCAUCUUAGGAGGUGCAGUUGGAAAGUAUUUCCCCUGUAUCGAUUCCAAGUCAGGGAUCAAAAAGAAAGAACUUGUCUCUAAUUGGCUUCCUACAUAGUUUAAAAUUUGUUUGUAUUCGAAAUAGAAUUAUUAAAUCUAUUGUCUCGGUGAAGACACAUGAAGCUGAUUUUAUUUGAAAGGCUCGGCUGAAACCGCAGCCGCUAUGGCUGCAGCUUCUAUAGUUUUCAGGGAAGUUGAUUCUGAGUACCCGCUUUUGCUGCUGGCAACAGCUAAGAGUGUGAUGCAGAUUUGCUGCUGGCAACAGCUAAGAGUGUGAUGCAGUUUACCAUUCAGUACAGAGGAAAUUGCAGUGAUUCUCCUUCUUCAUCUCUCUGUCCUUUAUACUGCUCCUACUCUGGUUACGAGGACGAGUUUAUGUGGGGUGCGGCAUGGCUGCUGAAAGCAACCAAUGAUCUGUAUUACAAAAACUUCGUAGAAUCUCUAGGAGAUGGAGAUCAGCCUGACAUCUUCAACUGGGACAGCAAAUAUGCUGGCGCCUAUGUUCUUCUUUCACAUGUGUGUUCAGUUUUGAUUUUGACUAACUGUGGAAGUUUCGUUCUCUCACAGGCCCAAAGUCAACUUCUUAAAAUUCUUUAUCCAAAGUGGUUUGAACCCGAGGCACUUUGGUUGCUAAAAUAAGUUUAUUGAACAUAGCAUCUCCCUAUUUGACUCACCAAUUAAUUACAAAAAAAAUUUCACGUUU